GUACCGUCAAACGCACAGAUUAUUUACCUGCACGCAAUUCUUCCCUCUCGACAGAAGUUUACGACCCUAAGGCCUUCAUCCUUCACGCGGCGUUGCUGGGUCAGGCUUUUCGCCCAUUGCCCAAUAUUCCCGA
rnacentral:rRNA from 1 species